GACUAUGCUUGUGGAGCUGGGGCUGACUGUGCUCCUACCCAUUCAAAUGGCGGUUGUUUCCAACCUAAUACUGUGAAGGCCCAUUGCUCUUAUGCUGUUAAUAGCUAUUUCCAAAAGAAGGGCCAAGCUGCAGGCUCUUGUGAUUUUUCUGGCACAGCUGCCGUUUCUGCAUCUGAUCCCAGUAAGCCAUUGCGUCAAAUCCCUUACUUUUCUGUAUCUAAAUGUGUUCCAUAAAGAAAACAAAGCACCCAUUUUUUCUUACCUCUUUGUGUGAUUCAUAUAGGUUAUAGUGGCUGUUCUUAUCCGGCUACUGUCAGGUAUAUUGCUUUUAUCUUGCUUUUGUUUUUUUGGUGCAUUUGCUUCUAUUUUCUUUCUGGUUUAGCAUCUCUCUCUCUCAUACCCAUUUGACAUUUCAAAUGUUAAUGAUUAAAGUAAAUCUGUCACAUUUCAGCAUAGUGAAUUAGUGAUUGAGGGGUGCCCUUAACUUUUUUGUUAAUGGGGCACCCCUCCUUUGUUUAGGGCUAGAUGCCAAGGCAAGAUAGGCUUGCAAGUGGCUAUUGUGCUUGGCUGUCGUGAAGCUAGUUAGUAUAAAAAUAUAAUAAAAUUUGGAAGAAUAUACCGUCUAUGGAAAAGUGAACUUGUUGGUGCUAGCCCUUUAUUCUUGGUCCCUUUACUUCCCUCUGGGCUCUCACUGACUUCAUAUUAAAAUACUGAAUAUGAAAGAAGAAUCUAGGGCAUAGAUUUAAAAAUCCACCGUGGCUGAAGUUUUAGUUCACAUUGAGAACACCAAGGAAAUGAAGAAUUGAGUCAGGAAUUUCGUGGGAUCAACCUUGGUGCUGUUUGAUAACUGGGCUUGGAAAAACUUCAAGAUAGAUAGACCAAUCAAAUUAGGAUUUACAGAAGCAUGACAUGCAUAAUUGGAUGGAGACGUAGUUCUGUUCACGUUGGCUUGUGUAGAUUCCUCUGCUCCUGUAGCUUUGGCUUCAAAAGGGGAAAUUCAUUUAUUUAUUUAUUUAUGUGGGAUGGGCAUCUUUCCUUUCAUCAAUAGGAGAAAAAGGUUGCUUUUUGCAAGAAUUUUGGUUCUCUAUCAACUGUUUUCUUGCUGAUGAUGCUUUUCGUUAGUAAAAUGCACGACACCUGUCCCCACCUCUUCUAUCUCUCUUCUGUCACUUUUAUUUAAAUUCAAAAUGAGCUAUGUUUGUCAUCUUGACUCGUAUUGCUGUUGCAUGAUAAUGUUCUUGAUCAUUUAGCCGUUUGCUAGUCGGUGAAGAGUUUCACUUUUCAUAAAAAAGAUGCUGCAAUUAUUAGUAUUCAUUGUCUUUUGCUAAAGCUAAAAUUUUACAAGGAUGGAUGAUAUAAAGAAUGGCAACUUGUAUAAAGACAAUGUUGUGCGUUAUAAGCCACGAUAGGCCUCUACCUUUUGAACUCUGUCUAAAGAUCUUGCAUAUGAUUAAUACGGAUGUUAAGAUUUUUUUUAUACUUCCUUUUUUUAUUUCACAUGGUUUAGUUUUCUUAACAUACUGUAGCAGUGCCGAUUGUUGAUCUGGACAUGAACUCAAAGUCCUCAAUAUUUCUUUAAAGAAUGAGAAUAAAAAGGCAUUACAAUGUCAUUUCUCGAGGAUGAGUCUUUAGUCAAAAAGUGGUGUGAUAAGGGAGGGAGGGCAGGGUAUGCAACAAGACUUUUUUUCUACUUUGAAGAUCAAAGUGUUUGCUGCCAUUUCCAUGGUGGGGAUUUUAUUAUUUUUAUUAUCAUAGGCACCUCAAAAGCCUUGGGAUGAAUGAUUAUCUUGGGAUCUGAGCCAUCUUUUGAAAUUUGGAUGUCUUUGAGAACUGUGCAUGUGUGGUCCCAUAAUUCUAAAAUUGUUCCUGCAUUUAUUGGAUCAUUGUUCUCAAGUGGCUGUGCUGUUGUUAUCUCUAGUUUGGUUAAAAACACAUUUUUGUGUCGUAUAACUAUGGUAAUUAGCAGCAAGGCCACCUGGGACAGCCAAAUUUUAAUGACAAGCAGUGUACUAUUGGUAGUAACAGUAAUUUGAGCUCUGUGUGCUUUGGUUAUGUCCUCAAUAUUAGAUUUUCAUGUUGUACUAGGAAUGAUCUGUGUUAUUCAUAGUCCCAAUCCAGAACAGCUUUUACUUCUUUUUCCCUUGCCUAUUUGUUGUUGAUUUAAGCGCAAAGUUUAAAAUAUGAAUCUCUGAAUGGUUACAGCAUGAAUGCCAUUAUAUAGAGCUUCAAAGUUGCUACAGGUUCAAUUUGGAUUGCUGUUCUGAAUGUGAAUCCCAUAUGCAAUCUUUGGGAAUGCAUCAAUAAAUGUUGUUUUUGGUUGUGUUUUCACUGAAAAUUACUAAACAAAACGAUAUUCCCUCUCACAUGAAUAUGAGCUAUAUGGAUCUUACAUAGUGCACUUCACAUGUUUGUGAGACGGAUGGAACCUGUUAUGUUUGUCCUAUUGAAUAAUUUUUCAUGUCUGCACAUGCCCUAAAUACUUUAGGAUUGACCUAAUAUAUCUUCUUAACUUGUUCUCAUUCUUUGGCAUCUCUGUUCUUAUAUAUAUAUAAAAGAAAUUGUGAAUGGAAGCUAGAAGUAUGAUUGCUUUUGCAACUGUGUUAACUUGUAUAUGUGUUUUUGCCUGUGGUGAAUAGUAAACCUGUUUGAUGUCAUUAGGUUUGUGUUUCUAACAUUUCAAACAAUUAAGGGAAUAAUGUGCUAAGUUAUGGAAUGUUCAGGUUCAAAGGCUUAUUUACCAACUCUUCCUUUGGUUUAUACAGUGCUGCAGGGACUAGCACAACCACUCCAACUCCAGUGACCACAAAUCCAUCUACCACCACACCCUCAACUACCAACCCAAACACCAAUCCAGUCAACACCACACCGACAACAACUACUCCAUACUCCACAACACCUUCCAAUGGAGUCUUGGGAGGCAUCGGCAACGGCG
rnacentral:lncRNA from 1 species